UUUUAAUUGAAGGCUUGUAUGAAUGGUUGGACAAGGGAUAAGCUGUCUUUAUUUUUGUUUUUGAAUUUGUCUUUUAAGUGAAAAGACUUAAAUUAUUUUAAGGGACGAUAAGACCCUAUAAAUCUUUAUACUAAUAUAUUUUUAUUUUAAUUUUUAAUGUUUGUGAAGAUAAAAAUAUAAAGUAUUAUAUUGGGGUGAUAAGAAUAAUAAAUAAACUGUUCUAUAAAAAAACAAAGUUAUUUGAUAAAUUAGUAGAUCCUUUAUUUAAGAUUAAAAGUUUAAGUUACUUUAGGGAUAACAGCGUUAUUUUUUUUGAGAGUUCUAAUCGAAAAAAAAGUUUGCGACCUCGAUGUUGAAUUAAAAUUUCUUUGUGGUGUAGCUGUUACAUAAGAGAGUCUGUUCGACUUUUAAAAUUUUACGUGAUCU
rnacentral:rRNA from 1 species